AAUGAACGCUGGCGGCAGGCUUAACACAUGCAAGUCGAGCGCCCCGCAAGGGGAGCGGCAGACAGGUGAGUAACGCGUGGGAAUCUACCCAUCACUACGGAACAACUCCGGGAAACUGGAGCUAAUACCGUAUACGUCCUUCGGGAGAAAGAUUUAUCGGUGAUGGAUGAGCCCGCGUUGGAUUAGCUAGUUGGUGGGGUAAUGGCCUACCAAGGCAACGAUCCAUAGCUGGUCUGAGAGGAUGAUCAGCCACACUGGGACUGAGACACGGCCCAGACUCCUACGGGAGGCAGCAGUGGGGAAUAUUGGACAAUGGGCGAAAGCCUGAUCCAGCCAUGCCGCGUGAGUGAUGAAGGCCCUAGGGUUGUAAAGCUCUUUCACCGGUGAAGAUAAUGACGGUAACCGGAGAAGAAGCCCCGGCUAACUUCGUGCCAGCCGCCGCGGUAACAC
rnacentral:rRNA from 1 species